GGCCCGUUAGCUCACUCAGUUGAGUGAAGCGCUAACAACGCUGAGGUCGUGGGUUUGAUUCCCGUUCGGUCCC
rnacentral:tRNA from 1 species